UUUGAGCCAGUUCAAACCAAUUUGCAAUCCGGUUUCAAAAGUAGUGGGAAUCAGGUCCAGGUGAGCAAUGGGCACCUUCCUUUCUUGCAUUUGAAGCACCCCUUCUCCAACCAGGAAAGAAGCAGAUGGAUCCUUGGACCACCUUCCGUUGAGUUCUGCCACACAAAAUAUCGACAACCUCCAGUUUGCUAGACAGUGUGUGUAAUGCGCUGAAAUUUCCUCCUGCCAUUGCAGACAAUGACAACGCGCAAUCACUCAUUAUAACUCAAUUACAGUAAUUAAAACUGGUGGGAUGCAGCGACGGAACAGAUGACAGGAAAGUGGGGAGGCCGACAAGAUGUUACACUCCGUGGCAUCAGCAAGAAAUAACAGCAGCUGAUGGCAUUCUCCAUGCCACCGACUGCCAUCUGCUUGGGAGACGCGGCGGAGGAGAUGGCGGCAACGAAAGAGGUGCCACGGCUGCAACAGAGCAUACGGAACUGACAACCGGAUCUGGCCUUUUUAAACUGGAGGCGGAUGGGAACCCAAGCCUUGCUACCUCAGAAAAGGUGCGUUGGACCUUGGACUCCUCAAGAGGUUUUCCUGCACCUGAGGUGCUCCGGAGGGUUUUGGAUCUUGGAGAUGCCGGGGAUGCCGAGAGCGCUCUGAGCAUUUGUAUUUUCCAACGAAGCAGGAUCCUCAUUAAAAGCCUUUUUGUAAAUGUCACCACAGCCUGGGCCAGCGGAUAUUUAGAUUUAUAACACAGAAGGUGGUUUCAAAUGGAGUCUGGGAGGAACUUGGAGGAGACCAGACCACUGCAGCGUGUGCCAAGCUUGGAAAGAAAGGGAACACAAAAAACAUAAGGAGAACCAGGUGGAGGAUUCUGGGUGUUGCAUUGCAAUCCCUUUAGCACUUUGCAUAGGAAAAAAAUAAAUGUGAAAUGUGGUCCCUACACUCUUAUCUGCCAAUCUCGCUGGCGUCUCACCCCAAAAGCACCUUUCGGCUGUGAAGGCUUAUCUGGAGAAUGUUUCAACCCAUAAUGAAUCCGCCAUGGCUUUUCGUUCCUCUCCUCCUGCCAGGACAGACUUACGUUCCCGUCUUCCUUUCUUGCCUUCCAGCGACUGCAAUGUCUUUUUGGGAUGGGAACCAAAGUACUGUGGAGUUCAGAGACAGAACAUUGUGUCACGGGAACCGGUCCCUGGUUAAAAUUGGCAGACUGUCACGUUUUGGCGUGGAACACCUGGAAAUGAGAUCAGUUUCCUGUCAGUUAGCAAACUUGGAGAGACAAGG